UGCCCCAUGGCUGAGUUGGUUACAGUGUCUGACUGUUAAGAGUGAUUGGAAGGUCAAGAGUUCGAGCCUCUCUGGGGCAG